GAAUAUAUAAGAGAAAGGUCAAUACUGAGGACUUUAAUGCACUUAUCCAUUUCUGAAUCCUGGGAAGAAUAUGUAACAGCCAGAUGGAUACUACGACUCAAGUUUGUUUUUCAACUCAGGCAGUGAAACCCUGAAUGGGAAGACACUACAGUAAACAAACAAAAAUGCACACAGGAAACAGAGUGUAAUGGAAUCCCUUGGACUUUCAAAGAAGAUGGAGAGCGCUUCUGCUAAAAUCACCUUCCAAAAUCCCAGGAAAACUUCCGUGUUUAACCGGAAUUCUAUUAAAACUUCCUUUUACUUCUGAUUUAAAUGGAGUAUGCCAAGUAACCCUGGUUUUCGAAUUGGGUGAACUAUUUAAUCCUCCUCAAAGAAAAAAAGAAAAAAACAAAACCAUCAUACAGCACCGAACUGACUUGUCAAGAGAAAAUAUAGAAGACUAUUAUACAGGUGGUCCACUUCAGUUAGACUCUUCCCCUUUCUUCAUGCCAAAUAAAAGCUGGCUAGAUUUAAAUCAUAUCUUUGCAAAUAAGUGUCAUUUCUCUCUUUUUUUCCUGCAGUACCAAAAAUAUUUGACAUUUCCUUAUGAAGCUGUCUAAUCAAUCCUCAAAGUUCUAACUGCAUAAACAUCUUGCCAAGGCCACCAAUGCCCUCAGAAUCUACCUCAAUGCAGUCAAAGUGUUCUUGAAGACAUCGUACAGCACAGUCCCUUAACAGGGCAUCUUAACCUGUUCCAGAUUCCACAGCGAGAGACUCAGAGAAAGUUCUGGGAAAUUUUUCAGAGCUGAUUAAAAAAAUGAUAUGAUCUGCAGACCCAGAAUAAAAGCUAAGGGAUUAGGACUGCUUAACCUGGGAUAACAAGUCUAAGAAAUAAACUAACAAC